rnacentral:rRNA from 1 species
AUGCAGCUGUGGACCCUGGAGGGCGCAAAGGAGGCGCUGGGCGACAAGGUGAUCAUCUACCGCCUCGACAGCCGCACUUUCGAGCGCGCGGACACGAAGCUCUUCGUCGUCUGGGUGUGGGUGUGGCAGCUCCACCACAUCCCCACCAAUAGGACGUUUUGGAAGCACACGCGGGGUGCCGGUAGGGUGGAGGAGAUGAUCGGCUUCUCGUCGCUGAGUAGGGCAGUCGCACCGCCACCUGACCUGCUCCGCUGGGAUGUCCUGGUGCACAUCGACCGCGUUGAAGACUGGACGCCGCUCUCCCCCCGCUACUCGCACUCUAGGCAAAGCGGGCUACCCUCCUUCGACGACGACGACUGUCCGUACCCGCACUACCCACAUGCGGGCGGCUGGGUGGCAGGCGUGGAAGAUGGCAGGCCAUCGCAGGACUCGGGACCGUGCCUGCGCCCUCCCGCGCAGGUGGCAUCCUCGGGCUGCAAGGGCAUGCCCUCGGUUGGCCACAGGCGCAACCACGACGGUGACGAUAGCCAGAGGAGGUCCUGGAAGGACACGCUGCUGGGACGGAGCCGCAGCAAGGAGCCAGCCGCGCCCCCGUCCCGGCCCCUGCCAAGGGCUAAGGGCGGGCCAUCGAACGGCGCGACCCGGUGGCGGCCUUCUUCGACGAGGUGGGUAGGGAGCUGCCCCCUCCCCCACGGGUGGACCCGAGAAUGA